rnacentral:rRNA from 1 species
AAACCAACAGGGAUUGCCUCAGUAACGGCGAGUGAAGCGGCAAAAGCUCAAAUUUGAAAUCCUGCGGGAGUUGUAAUUUGAAGGUUGCGGGUCCUGAGGCUGUGCGCGCCCAAGUCCAUUGGAACAUGGCGCCUGGGAGGGUGAGAGCCCCGUCCGGCGCAGCGCAGUCUUUUUUGCGGCCCGUUUCCGACGAGUCGAGUUGUUUGGGAAUGCAGCUCAAAGUGGGUGGUAAAUUCCAUCUAAAGCUAAAUAUUGGCGAGAGACCGAUAGCGAACAAGUACAGUGAUGGAAAGAUGAAAAGCACUUUGAAAAGAGAGUGAAACAGUACGUGAAAUUGUUGAAAGGGAAGGGCUUGCAAGCAGACACGGUUUCGGCCGGGCCAGCAUCGGUUUGCCGGGGCGGACAAUGCGGCGGGAAUGUGGCGCGCCUCCUUGUGGGGCGCGUGUUUAUAGCCCGCCGAGAUACGCCCAUGGCAGACCGAGGCCUGCGAUCCAAUCUAGGAUGCUGGCGUAAUGGUUGCAAGCCGC